rnacentral:rRNA from 1 species
GACGAACGCUGGCGGCGUGCUUAACACAUGCAAGUCGAACGGAAAGGCCCUGCUUGCAGGGUACUCGAGUGGCGAACGGGUGAGUAACACGUGGGUGAUCUGCCCUGCACUUCGGGAUAAGCCUGGGAAACUGGGUCUAAUACCGGAUAGGAGCCAUUUUUAGUGUGAUGGUUGGAAAGUUUUUUCGGUGUAGGAUGAGCUCGCGGCCUAUCAGCUUGUUGGUGGGGUAAUGGCCUACCAAGGCGGCGACGGGUAGCCGGCCUGAGAGGGUGGACGGCCACAUUGGGACUGAGAUACGGCCCAGACUCCUACGGGAGGCAGCAGUGGGGAAUAUUGCACAAGGGGCGCAAGCCUGAUGCAGCGACGCCGCGGGGGGGAUGACGGCCUUCGGGUUGGAAACUCCGUUCGCUAGGGACGAAGCUUUUUGUGACGGUACCUAGAUAAGAAGCACCGGCUAACUACGUG